CAAUAGCGUAUAUUUAAGUUGUUGCAGUUAAAAAGCGCGUAGUUGGAUUUCGGAUGGGAUUUGCCGGUCCGUCGUUACGAUGUGCACUGGCCAGUCCUAUCUUGUUGUCGGGGACUAGCUCCUUGGAUUCACUUCCUGGGACUAGGAGCUGACGAGGUUACUUUGAGUAAAUUAGAGUGUUCAAAGCAAGCCUACGCUCUGAAUACAUUAGCAUGGAAUAACACGAUAGGACUCUGGCUUAUCUUGUUGGUCUGUGAGACCAGAGUAAUGAUUAAGAGGGACAGUCGGGGACAUUCGUAUUUCAUUGUCAGAGGUGAAGUUCUUGGAUUUAUGAAAGACGAACUUCUGCGAAAGCAUUUGUCAAGGAUGUUUUCAUUGA
rnacentral:rRNA from 1 species